ACCGGACAUUUUAGGUUGAACAUGUAUAUAUAUGCUGGGAGACUCAAUUUUGUUUUAUAAUCUAAAGUCACUUAAUUGUAUAAAACAAAGUUAAGCGACUUUCUAAAUGAUUUACCUAGAGUUGAAUAACCAUCUGUGAUAUUAUCAAAUAUAUACUUUUAUUUCUUUCUUUCUUUUGUUUUAGUAGUAUUUCUUCAUCACCGGACAUUUUAGGUUGAACAUGUAUAUAUAUGCUGGGAGACUCAAUUUUGUUUUAUAAUCUAAAGUCACUUAAUUGUAUAAAACAAAGUUAUGUGACUUUCUAAACGAACUGCCUAGAGUUGAAUAACCAUUUGCGAUAUUAUUUGAUAUUCCUAAUUUUUAUUCUUUUCUUUCUUUUAUUUUAGUAGUAAUUCUUUAUCAUCGGACAUUGUAGCUAGACCAUCUAUAUAUAUGCUAGGAGAAUAUCAAGAUAUAAGUCUAACCACCUCAAAUGUCGUUUCUGACAUACUAUAGUCUAUAGAUAUUAAAGUC
rnacentral:lncRNA from 1 species